rnacentral:rRNA from 1 species
UGGGGAAUAUUGCACAAUGGGCGCAAGCCUGAUGCAGCCAUGCCGCGUGUAUGAAGAAGGCCUUCGGGUUGUAAAGUACUUUCAGCGGGGAGGAAGGUGUUGAGGUUAAUAACCUCAGCAAUUGACGUUACCCGCAGAAGAAGCACCGGCUAACUCCGUGCCAGCAGCCGCGGUAAUACGGAGGGUGCAAGCGUUAAUCGGAAUUACUGGGCGUAAAGCGCACGCAGGCGGUCUGUCAAGUCGGAUGUGAAAUCCCCGGGCUCAACCUGGGAACUGCAUUCGAAACUGGCAGGCUAGAGUCUUGUAGAGGGGGGUAGAAUUCCAGGUGUAGCGGUGAAAUGCGUAGAGAUCUGGAGGAAUACCGGUGGCGAAGGCGGCCCCCUGGACAAAGACUGACGCUCAGGUGCGAAGGCGUGGGGAGCAAACA